rnacentral:lncRNA from 1 species
GGGGGCGGUUCCUUUCGCUUGCGACAGCCAGCUGGAUGUCGGCUUCCUGCCGGCUUCCUGCCACGGGGCUUCUUUCGUUCCACCUCCUCUCCCUCCUCCGUGGUGGGGUUCUCACCCAUCUCUGCAGCUGUCCCGUCACCCCCAUCACUGGUCGGUGGGUUGGCGGGGUUCUGCUGCUCUUGCUGUCGUGGAACUUGGACAGGGGCUACCUCUUCGGCACCAGCUGGUGCUUCGGCGGCGGCUGCAUUGCCGCCCUGCUCUGUGUCUGCAAAUCAUGAUCACAUUGUAGGGAUCAAAAUCUUGCUUACAAGAGUGUAAAA